UUUCCACCAUAUCAUCUUUCUUAUCCUAUGCAUCAUCACAAAGAAAGAGUAGUUGUAGCAUUACUGAAAUAAAAAAGAACGAAGAUUUGAAGCUUGAUCCAAAAAGAAAUAAGUAUCCAAAAAAGAAGUUUUCGUAGAAUAACAUUCAUGUCAUCAUCCAACUCCCAACCUUCUGCAUAUACAAUCUGCAAACAUAAAAAAUUCAAAGUCACUCCCUCAACAAAUAUUGGCUAAAUAAUAGGUAGUCUUCUACACUUUUAUACAAAAAAUCAUGAUAUUUUAUAUAUGUAAAUAUGAACAGUAUAAAGUGCUAAUCAGCAAGUCUUUAACUGGUGUAAAUAUGAAAAGCAUAAACUGCUCAACGUUUCAUAUAUUGCAGAAUUUGAGGUAGGACUAUCUAUAGGUACAAUAAUUGACACUUUGAUUUUGUUGCCAUUCUGUCUCAGGCAAGCAAUUUAACACGUUAAAGAUCAGUAUCUGCCCUGUUCAAUAUUCCAAACUUACUCAGAAUAAACUUGGAGUUAAGUUAGAGUAUUUAGGAAAUCACCCCUAUCGUGAAACAAUUCAACUGCAGGGUUUGUUUAGUGAGAAAGUGAAUCUAUUGUGAGUAUGACCAUACAUGGUUUUAUUGGGUGCAUCAUACCCAUUUUUGCUUUGUGUCCACUUCAAUAGAUCCUACAUAUAGGUUUGAAAAUUCUAGAAUAAUGUUUCAAAUCGUAGAAAUGUUAAACAGUUUCGUAUUCCUGUCUUGCAAGUGAUCCGUUAGGUCCAAGGGUUCACCGUUUCUGCCUUUUUCCUUUUCCUCAUUAUGGAUUUGCAGGGAGGGACAGAAAAAAUGUCUGCUAGUGAUCCAAAUUCUGCAAUUUAUGUGACUGAUUCUGGACAGGAAAAGCAGUGUAUUCUUACCUGUUUCAUUAGCAAAACUAUAUGUUUCCGAUUUAAAAAAAAAAAAAAAAAAGCCAUGCAACAAGGAAGCCUGCUACUGGCAAAUCAAAAAUAAAAGAUGCUGGAGAUUGGAAAAUUGCUUAUAAUUUUUCUAGUAAAGGCCUCACCUGUUUUAACAGAAAACUGCUGAUAUCAUCUUCAUCUAAUCAUGUCCAUCAUAUGUCUAAUAUAUUUCAUCUAAUUAUCUCCCAGAAUGCAUUGAAUUAUCUGUGAAGCCGGAGACUUACAAGGUCAACUGGGGUUCCUAGUUUCUUUCCAUAUCAACUGAUAUUUCAAUAGUCACCCUAUCAAGAUAUUAUCUUUGAAAAAAAUAGUUUAGUGGUAAGAUUAGAACUUUAUAUCAAUUUAGCGGUCUGACAUAUAAUAAUAUCGCUGGAGGUUGUGAUUCAGGAAAAUCAUGGGGAGAGGCAUCGAAGAGGGAGGAAAGAGAGUCUUUUUUCUUUCUUUCUUUUUCUCACUUUUCCGAAUUUCCCCACACCUUUAGCACAUUUACCAGAUUUACGUAUACUUAUUAUUCUCUUAACUGUUAUUUUUCAUUUUGCACACGAGUGUGUUUAACCUGUUUUCGCAGUCCAUAGAGCAUAAAGGAGGGGUCGAAUGAGGCAAGGAAUUGAAGCGGGAGUGAUUGGCAGUUGGUUUGCGCUAAAGUUUAUGGAAUUUUUCCAAGUCUACUAGUUGGAACAUUUUCGGUCUAUCUACCGAUAGAAUGGAUAGGCAUAAGCAAUUAUCGACAAUGAUGAACCAGUCGAAGACCAACCCUCCAAUCGGUAGAAUAGGAGCAAAAGCAUCAGAUGGAUUGUACAACGCGAUUGAACCUUUAGUUUUCUACGCAUUGAAUGCAUCAUAACUUCAAAUCUAAAAUUCUCAACCGUUGAAGACUAAUCAUCACCUUUUGAACUGGAAAACAAAGGAGGAACAUUAGAACCCUUUUGAACCGGUUGAACUUUCUUCUUAACCGAUCGAGAUUGAAGAAAGCAAAGGAUGAAGAUAGGAGGUUGAAGAAGGCUGCGAACCCUCAAAGUCAACAUAGAAGACUGCUUUUCAAGGGUAUUUUGGUUAUUUCACUCCCUCAUCUUCCAAGUAUGGAGGGAAUCCCAUUAUAUGAAAGGCUUAAAACCCAAGUUUAAGAAUUUUUUUGGGAGAAUUCUUAGUCUUGAGAAUUAUUUCUCUUUCUACUACUUUACUUUUUCAAUUGCUUAAUUCAAAAAUAUAUUUUAUAGUCAUAGCUUGAAGAGAGUUGGAAAGGAAGAAGAAGAUCACUUGUUUUUGAGUUAAAACUUGUAAUUCUUGUUCUAAUUUUACUACAAUUCAAAUGGUUAUAAGUUUACUUAGAUUUUGAUUAUUCUAUUGAACUAUCAUUCAUCUUUCAUUCUUGAUGUUAAUUACUUUAUUUUAAUGGUUAGUGAUUCAUGUGUGUUUGAGUUUUUCUCACCCAUAUCUUGGUCCAAGAAAUAUGUUUUCUUCCAAACCUUAACAUGAAUUGAUUUCUUCUCUCCUUUUAAAUGGUUUCAAUGCUUAUUUUAAGUUGAUUAAUGGUGUUCUUAAGAUUAAAAUUUAGAGUUGUAUACAUUUUUAAUUAUUUGUCAAUAAGUACACUUGGUAUACGUAAUACUUGAAUAUGUACUCUAGGUGUUUGAACAUUGUACAAAGUCAUUAUCAAUCCCAUAAACACAUAUUUAGAUAUUAUCGUGCCUUGAGAUUUGGUUGAAUACAUAAAGAAAAAAAAGUUAAAACAUCUAAGUUAGAAGAAGGACUAGAUACUUGGAUCAUGUCAUUAUACAUUUAUAGUUUAUAUUUCAUCACAUAGUUUCACAAAAAUAUCAAAAUAGUCAUUUUUAUAAUUUCUUAACUUACAACAAAAACUUAAUCUUGCAUUUCUAACUUCAUGUAGAUAUGACCUUGAGAUUUCUAAAUAUUAUACUGUAUUAAUAUGUUACUACGAUUGGGAGUUGCCUCCAAUAGUUAAAUAGAAUGAUUUUAACUCUUUCUACCGAAACGCCACUUGCGAAAUAAAAAAGUGACUAGUUUUUCAUUUCACAACUGCGUUGUUUUGGUGGAAGAAAGGGUAAAAUUGUCUAAUUAACCAUGUAAUAGAUAUUAUUUAGAAGUCACCGCCUUCAGCGAUAUUAUUAUGCGUUAAACAACUGGAUUGAUAUAAAAAUCUUAUUUUACCGCCAAAUUAAAAUUUCCCCUAUAAUCGUGGUCUAGACUCUCUAUCAAUAAAUUCCCCCGCGGUCUUCUUGUUGACUUGACGAAAGCAAGUGCCCUUUAAUUAUGUUCCCCGCUGUUUUCGUUUUGACUUGACUCAAAAUGCAACUGCUAUUAUGUAAUUUAUUUGUUUGUAUUCUCUUUGUAUCAAAACCACUCAUCAGUAAACAGCUGAUUCCAUCUCUCUCCAAUACCAAAAAUCUCACUUCCCUCACUGCUUCAUCUCUGGUUCUCUCGCCUCUGUUUCUUCAUGGCUACUCUAAUCGAAGCCCAACAGGCCUCCAGCUCCAGCUCCGAAUUCAAAUUCAACUCGACAUUCCUGAGCUUUUUCGAGGCUUAGCAAGACCUAAAAAAAUUCACCGAUCACUCUAAAACCGACGCCUGAAUCGUGCCGGAAAUUCCGACCCUCCGAGACGAUCGACGAGAUCAGGAGUCAAGAACAUCAAUUCCCGAGUUAACAGAGAGCGAUCAAGUACUUCCAAGGAUGUCGGUUAUCGUUGUCUCGGAAGAUACGCAUCUUCAAAUGCUGCCUCUUCGAGGCCAGACGAUUUCUGGAGCAUUGUAGAGUCGGAUCACUUUAUUUUGCCGGUGUUUUACGAUGUGGAAUCCUGGGAGAGUGAGUAUCAGGCGAGAUAUCUGGAGAAGAAGGAUUCGUCCGGAGAAGACGAUAGGACGGAGUGCGGCGCUCAACGAGGUUGGCGAGUAUGGCUGGGAUGGUUUGCAAAAUCAAGCGGAUGGGUAAUUUCCUCCAAAUCCUAAUUUUUAUUUUUUGCAACUCUUCUCUUAUCCAAGAAUUGAUGUUUGGUUCAACAGUUUGGAAUUGAUUUUGCGUUUUUUUAUAGCGAAAAUUACAUUACAAAAACUUUCUAGGUUUGACGGGGAAGAAAUUAAACAUUAUAAUUUUAAUUUAGUAACAAUUUAAAUUUUUCGUUAGUUUCCAUCCAGCUAAGAAACGAAACUAACUAGUCUGUCCACAAUGUCAUAACCACUUGUAUAGGUUUUAUUUUUAAGUAACACCUAUUGACCAUUCUCAUAUCAAAAUGACAUAGAAUUACCAUAAAAAUUUGAUCUGUUUAAUACAAAUAAAACACCUAAACUCUUUAAUUUGUAUUGUUAAUUGGUUAGAUUAGGACUUUGAAAAGAGAUAAUUUUAUACGAAGUCGUUUCCAUGCAUUUUGAAUGGAAAUCAAUCGAUUCUGUUUGCCUUAAAUGGAGAUUAACGAAUGGUUUAAAUUAUUACUGAAUUAAAACUUCGUAGUUUAAUUUGUUUACAAUUAAAAUUGUAGAGUUUAAUUUGUUCCACGAUCAAAUUUUUUUUUUUCUUUUUUCUUUUUUAUAUUAUUGAUAUUUUAUCAUAAUUGAUUAUUAAUAAUUUGAAUAGUCUUUUUAAUAUUUUUUAAAAAAUUCCUACAAAACAAAUUUCAAAACCUAUAAAACCAAACAAAUUUUCUGCAUAAAAAUUUGCAAAACUGAUUUAAAAACUAAACCAAACUGAUUUUGUUGAAAAGUUAUAAAAUUACCCUUCUAUUUUACCAUUAGUAUAUACUUUUCAACACAAUACAAAGAUUUCUUUGUAAUUUUAUAAAAAUAAAGACAAGAAAAAAUAUUUUUGGAGAAAAUGGAAGUAUGAAAAUCACCCCUUAUUUUAUUGCUAUUAGUGCAUUCAUAUUGUUUGAAUUUGGGUUUUCUCCAUAUAUAGGAACAAGUUAGACCAUCUCCCAUUUUUACACUUUUUUUAGUCGAAUUAGAGAGAAAAUUUGAUAAAAAGCUUGAUCUGAUACUAAGAACUACAAUCUUUACUCUUUUAUUUCAUAGAAUCUUCUACCAAAAUUUCCAACUAUUCCAAAAACGAGACUUGAUGGGUAAAAAAACCCUCUAAUCCUCAACCCUUUCAAAGGUUUUCAUCUUAUGAGUAAAGUAGAGUUGGCCGAAGGUUUGUUGAUCUUGAUUUGAUGAAAAUUUUUGUUUUCCUCUUCAUUUGAUUUUAAAUUUGGUGAAACCGUGAAAGUCUAAGAGCUUGUUUUUGUACCCCUUUUCAUCAAAUUUUGAAUUAUGACGAUGAUUUGAUUGAAGGGUUGGAGAUGCUCUCAGUUUCAAUCAAGGGGUGGACAAUUACUUUAUAUCCCUUGGCGAUCGUAUGGCUUAUACUGAGUAAUUACCUAUAUAUAAUUACUAAUAAUUGUUUAUGCUCGCGGGUAUGAUACUUUUGUGGACAAUCUUAUAUGCCAAAUUCAAAUAAAAACAAACUUAAAAUUAAAUUAAUCAAAAAAAAUUACAAUAAAUUAACACAAUUACAGACUCUUCUCGAAGAAAACAAUUCAAAUUGUGACUGAGCACUGUAUUCAAUACAGUGCCUUAAGACAGAUUAAUCCUCUGCACGGGUGUGCAACGGAUAUAUAGACUCUGUCUCCCAGGAUACAACAGUCGAAAUCUUACUAAUGCAGCAUAAUAAUCAGUAGCCUGGCGAACCAACAACAGUGAUGUACUCUCUUGAUGGUAUGCAAAAAAAUAAAGAAAGGAAGAGCGGGGAAUAGAUGAAAUUGCUUAGAUUUACGUAUACCAAACUGGCUAGGAGGGAUGUGUAUAUAACCUACCGCCUGGAAAAUUCGUGACUUUAAGAAAGAGGAAAUUUUUCAAAGGAGGCAAUUUUUUGGGGAUCUGUUCGUUAAAAUUCAAACGUACAGGGACUUAACAAAAAGACGCAAUAGUUCGGGAUUAAACCGAAAGGACACAACUAUUUGGGACUAAAUCCGAAAAGACGCAACUAUUUGGGAUUAAAUCCGAAAGGACGCAACCAUUCGGGGACCAAAAUAUAAAUACUGAAAAUUAUUAUUUAAUAAAUAAAUUUUUCAGUAAAAAUUUAUAUUAGUCCGACCCAAACCCACACCCCGCACCCGCACCAAGCCUAAGGCCACGGCCUAGUCCGGGCGGGCGGCGCGCGUGGUUGUUUUGGCCAAGUCAUAGAGUUCAGAGUCGAGCCCAAGCCUAUCUAUAACUACCUUACCUUCAAAACUUGGGUACCCCUGGGCCCAACCAAGGAGUGAAAUUACUCCUUAUAAACCAAUUUACUUUCUCUCUAUUAACCAAUUAGGACUAUUUUGGAGUCACCCAAUUUUCAAUUCAUUUGUAAGUAGUUUGAAUAACCUAAUUACACAUUCUUAAUCCUCAAAUGUUAGGUAUCUAAAACCACUUAAAACCAUCUAAAAAGUAUAUGGGUCUGCUUUAAUUCAGACAAAGUUGGGCAAAAUUAUUGAGUUAAAACAAUUUUUUCCUACAAUCCCCCACAUGAAUGAAAAUGGACGGAAUAUGCCAAAACAUGUUGGAAACAAAAAAGAGUACAUAUAGAAAAUACAUGCACAGAGAAAGGUAGGUUUGGCUUGGCAUCUUUCUCUGGUGAAAAGUCUAUCGGAUUUAUGGCUAAUCGUGGAUAUGAUGUCUGAAACUGUUCAACUGUUUAUGUAAACCAACAAUAAAUUUCACACAAAAAUAUUUCAAACACCGCUUGGUUCUCAUGGUGUGUUCCUUUUAGCUCUGAACAACGCCUGAGUUUCAUGAGUGCCUCUAGGAAGUUAGCCGGAUUAAUUUCAAAAGAACCGGCCCCAGUUCACAUCAUAUAGAUGAUUUUAUUAAGAGCAUCCUGCUAUACCCCAAUUGAAAAUCAAGGAUAAGAAAUCAUUAAAGCCAAAGUUUAACCUGGGUCUCGCUACAACCAUCACUACUCAUCAGAAGAAUAGGUAGGAGAUAAUCUCCCAGUGAUUCCGACUAAGUCCCCCAACAAUUCGAUUGUCCCUUUGAACCUCAAAAUCUUGGGAUCCCAAAGUCAAUUAGGUUGGGUUGCCAUUGGGGAAACUUGGAACUUUUAAAAAAUAGGCUUUAGUCCCAUUCCCUCAAUGAAUGAUGCAUUACUCAUAGUCAAAACUUUUAGUUAACGGCAUCCGCUAAUAUGAUCCUUUGAUUGAUAUUAAUCAGAUGGAUAUUAUUUCACUUGAGGAGCAAAAUUUAACAGUAUUAUAUCUUCGACGGAUAUGUCGAGAUUAACGUUAUACAUAUUAUUCAGUGCUCGAGAGCUAUGGCUGAUUGGGACUAUCACAAUGUAUGAAAAUAGCCGGCACAGGUUUAGGCCACAUUGGAAUAUAUUCUAAGUUUUGUCGAGCCAUUCUGCUCUCCGUUUUAUCCAUGCUAUGAAUUCAGAUUCCAUAGUAGACCUAGCUAUACAAGUUGACCGUGGACGAUUCAAGAAAACUGCUGCUCACCUAAGUGAACAACAUAACCACUAGUAAAUUGGAAUCCUUGUAUCCGGAAAUUCAGUUUGCAUCACUAUAUUCUUUAAGUACUGCAGGGAUAUUUAGUGUAGUUGGCAAAACUAUAAGUUGUGAUAGCUAAAAAUAUAUAAGAACCCUAAACUAUGGCCCUUACAAUGAAUAUUCGUAGAUUUGCUUGUGACCUACUCAACUUACUCACAGCAUAUGCAAUAUCUGGUCGAGUACAGUUCAUGAAGUACAGUAAGCUAAUUAAUAUUCGAGCAUAAUCAUUGAGACAUACUUCAACAACAUUCUUGGCCUAAAUGGAAAAUUCAUAUCCCAAAGAGUUUUUGAAUAUGUUCAUCAUCUUUACCUCUAAAUUUUUCAAGAAUUUUCUCAAUUAUAAUGGGGCUUGAGAAAGUUAUAUCCUUCAAAGUUUUAGUAAACUUUAUACAAAGUAUAACAUCAGUUAACACUAAUAUCUUUCAUGGGUCAAACUGUUUGUUAACAUUUUCUUAGUAGCUUUAAUCAUCUAGAUAUCACUACAAUGAUAGCAUGUAUCAACAUAAAGACAACGAUGGACAUAUUCUUUAUUUGUAUUCUGAACAUAAACAACAUUUUAGGGAUGCAACUUUUGCCCAACACCCCCACACUCUUAAGCAUUGUAGGAAUGUUUUAUACCUUUUAACAUUUCAUAAGGGUUUUAUCAAUUUUCUUACGGGUAUUCUAUUAAGAAUAUAAUUAGCAUGAUAAAAAUAGCUUCCCCCCACAAUUCUGAGAUAACACCCAGAACUAAUAAAUAGCAUUUCAUCAUAUCCUUUAAGUUCUAUUCUUCCGACACUAAGCAACUCCAUGACUGGGGAGCAAUAGGUGCAUUGUUUGUGUAUAAUACCAUGUUGCGCACAAAACUCAUAAAUGUGUCUCAUAUUCACACCUCUAUCACUUCGUAGCACCUUAACUUUCUUGCUAAGUUGAUUUUCGACGUCUUGUAAAUGUAUGAAAGCAUCCAAAAUUCAUCUUUCUUCUCAACAUACACAACAAAAUCUAGAAUAUCAUAAAUAAAUGUAUAAUGUACUUUUUUCCCCUCUAGAUUGUAUAGAUUUUUAAAAUACAAAAAUCACUAGAAACUAAUUCAAGAGGUCAGUACUCCUUUCAAUAGUUGAAAAUGAUUUUCUAGUCAUUUUUGCUCUACACAAAUUUCCCAUUUAUGAUUCAAGUUUAUAUAAACUUAGGUAGACAUUCCAAUUAUUAAGUCUUCGCAAAAGAAUGCUAAUUAUAUGUCCUAAUCUAACAGCCCAUAAAUGAGGGAAGACUCAAGCAAGUAGAAAAAUAACAUCCUUAUUUCAUUCAAUUUGGAACAAUAUGUCAUUAAUUCAAUUUAAAAAGCCAAUCACUCAUGUAUCCCUUUCAUACAUACCAUUGCCCACUCUUGUAAGUACAAAAUUUGUCAGAUUUCAACCCUAGCGAAAGCCAUUUUUGCUCAACAAUGAGCCAGAAACUAGUUCUUCGGAUGUCUGAAAACAUGCAUCCACUUGUUGAGAGGAGUUCCUUUCCAGAUGUCAUUUUUAGAAUCACUUUGCUUGGCCUACCACGUUAGAAGUUGACAGAGUUCCCAGUAAAGUUGUUCACCAUCAUUCACCUUUGCGUAAGAUGAAAACAUCUUCUUUAUCGAAGCAUAUUGUGGCGAGUAGCUCCAAUCCACCAAACAUUCUUAAAAUUUUGUAUACCAAAUUUGCUAUGACACAAAACGCCAGAGAUUCAUGCUGGGGAUGCAAGCACACAGAUUCUAACAUCUGUUUCAGUACUGUGCAUGGGCACACAUUUUGCUCGAACUUCCAUAAUCCUUGGGCUUUGCUACGACAUUCAUUGGCUCUAUGUCCGAUCUUGUCACAUUUGUAGCCCUUUCUCUUGAAACUUUCUUGUUGAACCUUGAGAUGUACCGUUACAAGAAGCUUUAGUUCUUGUUCUUAGGCCCUUGUUCCACAACAUGGCCUUCGACUCCAUUGAAAUCUUUCUGUCUUUUCUCAGAAUUUGGUUGUAUUCUUCUAUCCUCAAUCACAAUCAGUUCCUACAAUUUCAUCUCCUUGCGUUUAUGCUUUAAAAUUAUUUUGAAUUCCCUCCAAUUAGGCAGUAAUUCUCAUUAUUGCCAGCAACUUGAAUGAUCACUAAGUGACAUCCUUCACGCAUGUAUAUCAUGUAUCACAACUUGGAGUCUUUAACUGACUGAUCAAGUACGAGAAUCCAACAUCUUCUAACCAAAAAUUGCCAACAAUGAAUUUCUUCAUUCCAGUAUCUUUCUGGUUUUAUACUUUUUAUCAAGAGAUUCCCAUAUUCGUUCGCUAUCUUGAUUAGGCUAUAUACAUUGUAACGUAUGUCCAAUCCAUGAGGAAUAAUUGCGGCACAAAAAAAUCUGAAUGCUUCCAGUAUCAACAGCCACAACCAUUUGCACAUCCGACUCAUCUUCUUUAUAGCGUUGGAGUUGUUUCAUGGAGGAAAACCUUGCCAAAAUAAGAUAUAAGAUAAAAUAAACAUCUUUUGCUGCUAUCUUUUAAAAUUAGUUCCAUUGAACUUUUCUGGUUUCUCUCCAUGAUUUACCGGAACCGAUACAGGAAUCGGUGGCAUGAUUGUAAUGGGAUUACUUCCAGAACCUCCAUCAUAUCCGGGGUUUCCAUAACCAGUGUCAUCAGAAACACUUGCCAUCGAUUCUGAUAAAACAGAAUUCAACCAAAGAAUUAAAAAAAAAAUCACAGUAGAAGAAAGUAGAAGUGAUAAUCUAUCUGUCUUAAGAUUGUUGGAAAAUCUUCUAUGCAAUUCAAAUAAACAUACUGAAAUUAAAUUAACAGAAAGUUCAAUAAUUAACACCAUUAACAGAACUUCUUCUUCGAAGAACAAGAAUUCAAAUUUGUGCUGAGGCAUAUAUUCAAUACAGGGUCCCUUAAGGAAAGAUAUCCUCCGCACGGGUUGCUAACGGAUGUUAAUAGACUCUGUCUCCCGGAUACAACAGUCUCGACAUCUUACUGAGCAGCACAAACAAUUCGUAAGCCUGGCGACACCAACAACAAUGAUGUACUCUCUUUUACGGUAUGCAAACAUGAAGGAAAGGGAGAGCGGAGGAAUAGAUGAAUUGCUUAGAUUUACGAGUAUACCAACAUGGCCUGAGGGAGAGGAUGUUAUAUAGGAAAAUUCGUGAACUUUUAGAAAGGAGGAAUUUUUCUAAAGAAGGAAUUUUUCCGGGGGAUCUGUUGUUUAAAAUUCAAAUGUACAGGGACAAAAACGAAAAGACGCAAUAGUUCUGGAUUAAACCUAAAGGACGCAACUAUGUCGGAUAAAUCCGAAAAAGACGGCAAAAAUAUUCGAGGGACCAAAAUAUAAUUACUGGAAAUUAUAAUUAAAUAAAUAAUUUUUUCAGUAAAAAUUUAUAUUAGUCCGACCCAACUACAAACCGCACAAGCACACAGCCCCGGCGGGCGGCAGCGCGUGGUGUGGUAUUUUUGGUCCAGUCAAUAAAGUUCAUAGCUGGACCCAAGUCCAUCCAUAACUCUCCUCUUCAAAAACUUGCGGUUACCCCUUGGGGCCCAACCAAGGAGUGAAAUUUACCUCCGUAUAAACCACGUUACUUUCUCUCUCCUUACCAAUGUGAGACUAAAACAAACUUUUUUACAUAAGCCAUAUUAUGUAGACACUUUGGAGUCAAUUUUCAAUUCAUUGUAAGUAGUUUGAACAACUAAUUUACCACAUCCUUAAUCCCCACAUGGAAGUGUAUUAAAGACACUUUAAAACCCAUCUAAAAGUAUAUGAGUCCCACUUUAAUAAGGCCUCCCAAAGUUGGGCAAAAUUAUGGGUUAAAACACAUUUUUUCCUACACUUUCUCCCCAAAAAAUCACUUCUUAGGGAUAAUCAUUAGAGUUUUACAACCUAAAAAAUAGAGAGAUACAUUACUACAAAAUGAAGAACAAAUUAAAAAGUAUAAUGCUUUUGAAAGUGUUGCUAAUUUGGGAGAAAUGAAGGUGAAAGAAAUUGAUGUUUUAAUUUUUUUUUGAUAUGGUUCCCACUAAAAAAAUGAUCCAAUGGAUAAAAAAUAUGUCCACCUUUAGAGGUUUUUUUGCCAUUGAAUAACAAUCUAUAUGGGCCCCACACAUUUGAGAAGAAGGAAGUGAUAUUUUUUUUUUGAGAAAAAAAUAGUCUCAGGUGAAAUCUUAGCUAUUGAAUUAAUUCAAAUGGAUUCCAAACCGUGAUAUAAGUAUAAGAACAAAGUUUUUGAAUCUUUCAAACUAUCUUCCAUAUCUUAUGGUCGGAAUUCAUUGAGUAAUCCCAAGGAUGAGAUUCACUUGAGACUAUGUUUUUUCUUACAAAAAAUAUCACUUUCUUCUGCUCAAAAUAGUGGGGGCCCACAAGAUUGUAAUUCAAUAGCCAAAAAACCAUUAAAACAGGACAUAAUUUACCUAUUGGAUCAUUUUUUUAGUUGGACCACACCAAAAAAAUACUAAAACACCUCUUUUUUUUUCUCUCAUUACCCAAAGACUAUUAACGCUUUUUAAAAAUCAUAUACUUUCUAUUUUUCUCUCUUUUAUAGUAAUGUAUUUCCUUCAUAAUGCAUGCAUUGUAAUAUCUUAAGCUGAGUUAUAUCUAUCGUUUUUUUUUAUGUUGUAAAACUUAAUAGUACAAACCAAAAAAGUAAUUUUUUUUUUUUUGACGUAGUGCCUGGGAGCACGGGAAAUUACUAGUUAUAGAUAUGUUACAAACUAUUUGGCCAGAGCAAGUUAUGGUUUUGAGUUUCAAUGAUCGUAGCAAUGGUAAUACUCUUCCCCUCACUCUCCCUUGGACUACAUAAGGCUUAAAACCUGAUAAUUACAUAUAUUUGUGGGACGGGGAAAUACAUGUAGCCGGGAUAGAUAGAGCAAAAUACUGGGAUAGAAGAUAGGUGUUCUAAGUUGUCAAAAUUGUAAACUACGUUAUAUGCAUCACUAAUAAUUCAUAUGGCCGUUCCUAGUUAAACCAAAUAAGUUAAAAUCACAUGAUUUUGAUGGUUCAGGAUGAAAUGGAAAAAAAUGGAAGUAGUAUAGGAGAUAAAACUGUGUGUAAUUGAGCUUAUACUUUUUUACAAAGUGGUUAAGGACUAAUUUUCUUCUUUCCUAUUCAUAUAUUAACAUAAAGAAAUUGUUAAAGAAAUAUUUUUAAAGAACUUGACUUGAUGAUUUAGAAUGCAGAAGUAUACUUGAAUUCUAAUUAAUCACUUAUCAUCUACAGCAUUCUUUCUUGAGAAUCGUACAUCUUCUUUUUCAUGCCACUAUUGCUAAAUGAGUUUCGAUUACAAAGUUUCUUUUUUUUUUUUUAUGUACUGAAAAUCAUAUUUGUCUUGAAGUAAACGGGAAUUGUGGUGAAGAAGUUCAUUUCGCAUGAUUUCAAAUUGGGGUUAAGAACCAAUGAUUCAAUAGCGUAUUACGUGAACUGUUUUUUCCCUUCUUUUUAUUUUUGUGAAAAUGACACUCUUUUUCAAAGUAAAUUUAUAAAGUGGAUGAUAAGUUUUUUAGGCACUUGGCCCACCUCCCUCUUUAAACCAUGCUACAUCACUACGAAAUCAGAACAAAAACCUGGCCAUGACAACAAACCCCUUGGGAAGCCCUUAAAAUUCCUUGCAUUGCCAUGUAACCACAAUCUUCCAAUGGCAUUUGAAAACUUAUACAACCCCUCAUUCGGAGCAACACCUAGGACCAUACUUGGUCAAAGCAACCAUGGUCCUACUAGCUAGGUUUCAUAACUGGGGUUCCGAGUACUAAGUGGGCGGGUCCGCGGGUCUUGAUGUCAGAUUCUUUGUAAACCUAAAUUUUAGUAUACUUGUAUUUUUGUCUCAAAUUAAUUAUGAGUACAGUACACAUUCUGAAUUAUUCCAGAUAAUAAAUCUUGAAUUAUUUAAAAAUGUACUUGAAAUCAAAUGAGAUUAUAAAAAAAUAUGAAAAAUAUUAAAAGUGUUAACCUCACAUCGCUUAUUUAAGCCACCCAAAAUUAUUAUAUAAGAAGUGAACCUUUAUCUUUUGAUCACCCAUUCAAAUAAUGGGUCAACAAAGAUAAGUGAUAGUUUUUUUCUUCUUUUAUAGAUGGGAAAAGAUAAGUAAAGUUGAGCAAAGAAAGUUGAUCUCAUCCAGCCACCUUACUCGAAGUUGCUUCAAAAGUCAAGGAUACAUAAGUAAAUUACUUGAAUAAUUAGAUUUGCAUAUAUUUUUCACUGCCGGAAUAGAUAAAACAUGUAAGAGGAUAAUUCCCCCUAUGGAUCUGAAAUUAUUUUACUCAUGACAGAGACUAAAUUUCCAGAAGAAAGGCUGUUCAAGUUUUUUGUCUUCUAAUUCCACUUGCAAGUUUUGAGCUGCUUUAGUUCUCCUCUUGCAGUUUUUCCUUCAAUUUGUUUGUUUCUUGUUUUUUUUCUAGUGCUCUGUAAACCCAUUUCAUCCCAUGGCUGAUUUUGAUAAAUAAUCAUUCGUCUACCUAUCUUCACCUUAAUUUGAUAUGUUUUUCCCCAAUCUUGACAGAAUGAAUUUGUUUUCCAUUUUGAGUUGAGCUUUUAUGUAUGAAGCCCAGUUCAUUGAGAUAAAUUGUUGAAGGAACUCAGAAUAAAGCUAACUACCAAGCGUCUGAGAGGUCCUCACACCACCUAAUGGUAUGGAUUCUCGAACAAAAGAUAUUAAUUUAAUGGUUCAAAAACGGUCACCGAGUUGGCAUUCUCGUGAUAUGGAAUAGGUGGAGAGGGAAACUACUAUUGCCAAAAGUUGUGUACACUCAAACGGUGUAUGUUUUGAUGCUAGCAGCGUUGGUCUUUCCACUAAUAUCAGAGAAGAUGCCAAAAACCCAAUGGCUUACUGCGAUUGCAAAGACAUCUUAUUUCAUAUAUUUUAAGAAAAGAAGAGCACAAAGUAAACGAUGUUGAAGAGAUGUCAGGAGGCUUCAAUUAUAUUAACCAACAACGUGUUCUUCUUGUUCUCGAUGGAUGUGGAUAUGAGGGACCAACUAAUAUGCGUUAUUUGGCCAACAAGAGUGGUUUUUUCCAGGAAGUAAAGUCAUCAUAACUACUAGGCUUCGGACCUUGAUAAAUGCUGUCCUGUUUAAUCAGUUUAUGAGCCCCUGAAAAAUUUCCCCAUUAAGAAUUGAGCUUUUUAGUAGACAUAUGCUUUUGGAGAAACAGGCCUAUUCAAGGGUACAAGGAGUUAUCGAAUGUUUGUACAACACUGUGAAGGGCUUCCUUAGCUCUUCAAGUUUUGGGGUCUUCUUGCGCAGGAAAAGCCUAGAUGUAUGGACAAAGUAUGUUACGAAAUUUGCAAACACGUUCUGACAGACAAUUCUUGAAAAACUUGAAAUAGCUUUGAUUUUCUUUACAAGAUAAGCCCUAUAAAAAUGUAUUCCUUGAGAUAGCUUGUUUCUUCUAUCUUUUGUUGGAAAGAAGAAAUGACACAUCACCAUUCCUUGAUGGGUGUGCAUAUUACACACAGCUGGAAUCACAUCUCCUUGAUUCGAAAUCUUUUGACACGAAAAAUGGUAAAGGCUGAGAAUUCAUCAUUUAUUCAGGACAUGGGAAAACAAAUCGUAUUGGUCAGAAUCAUAUUAUCCUCAGGAGCGGAGCAGAAUCUGGCGGCAUAAGAGUCAUUCAAUAUCUGAAUGAAAAGAUGUAAGAACAUGUUUUGCGAAGUUCAUUGUUUUUUUGAUUUUGCCCAUGCUAGCCAGUCAAUUAUCUAACUUUCAUUUUUUUCCUUUCUUUUGUUUUUAAAGGUACCUAAAAAAUUGAAGGCCUCACUUUUGACCUGAAUGUGUUGAAAAGAAUGAAUUUGAGACCGCUCAUCGUUUUGGAUUUUCCUAUGAAGCACCCGAGUUGAGCAUCGAAGGUGGUAGACAUUGAAACUAAUGCGUUUGAAAUAUAUUGUAAACUUGAUACUACUCAAACUCAGUUGGUACAACUCUCUGGAUGCUUAUAAUGCCUUUUCCCAAAAGAUUAAGAUGGUUAUAUUGGCACAGUUUCUCUCCAGAGUACAUGCCCAAUGGUUUUUCCUAUUGACAAGUUUGGUCGCUCUUGACAUCGCUACGCAACUUUGAAACAGUUUUGGGAGUGGAGCUAAGGGUAUGAUAUUUAUUUUGCUUCUACUUUUAUUGUAUCAAUUCGGGUUAUUGAAUUAGUUGUAUAGAAUGCUACUUCUGAACUUAGUUGGCAUUAUUGUUUGCUUUUUUAAAUAGGUUUCUGGAUCGCGAAAUGCUAAAUGUCAGUCACUCACCUAAUUAGCUAAAACUCCAGACUUCUCAAAUCCCCAUCUAGAGCAACUAUUCUUCAAAGAUUGUCCAAGUUUGAUUGAGAUCGUUGAAUCUAAUUGUACAAUCUACAAAGAAUCUUUGCAUUGAAUCUUAGAUGUACAAUCUGAGAAAGCGUGCCAUACAAAUUAGCAUGGUAGAAUCUCUUGACGAACUAAAGUUUUCUGGUUGCUCAGUCUUAGGGUGCAAUCGAGGAGCUGACGAAGAUGAGGUCAUUGCGAGUAACUUCCCGCUGAUAGGAUGAAUAUAAAUCAAUUACUCCCACUAUGGAGGUUGAAGCACAAGCAUCUUUUUGGCCUUGGAUUCCAAAGCCAGGGCAAACUAUACAAAUGUCAUUGGCCCGAAUUACCAAGUUCUUUGGUACAUUUAGUCUGCUCAUUGCAAUCUCACCGAUGAUGCAUUUCCCUGGGAUCUAAGUAUCUAUCCAAGUAACAGCAUUUUUGUCUUGUUGGAAAAAAAAUCCAUUUCUAAACCCUAACCAAAUUGCUUAGAUCUUAAAGGGCUCCAACACGCUGGAUUUCUCGUGGUGUCCAAAGCUUCCGGGAUCUGUGGCCAUCCGAUUUUAUAGAGGAACUAGUUGUUUACAGAUGCAAAAAUUGAAAAAAUACCAUUUGAAACUUCAGGCCGUAUAAAACAUAUUUUCGCACGUGCUUGCAUGAGUUUAGACUAUGUUAGAAUGUGGCUUACAAGAUCUUACCGGUUGCAAAAGUUGAUGUGGAACUCCUCAACAUAUUGGGCUUCUUCAACUUGACUUGAUGGCAAAUGGUGAAGCUUUCAUGUUAAUCGUAAACCUUGUAUGGGUCGAAAGACGUGUUCCUAGUUCGGUUUCUCAACUUCUUUCUCUCUCUUUCUCUCUCUCUCCUCUCGUUACUGCAUUUCAAUGUGAACUAUUGAUUUCAUUUCACAGAUACUCUAUGAAUACAUUGUAUUCAGCACAAUAUUUUCCUGGGAAUGAUAAGUUCCACACUGGUUUUAGCAUAGAAUCGGGUCCACAUUAACUUUACUAUAACUUCAUCUCCUCACCUUUUUCAGGUGUAAUCUUUGCUUGGUAUAUACAGUUCCGACGACAUAAUUGGUUGCCGGUCCCUUUUCAAUGUUAAGAAUUAGUAACAGAUCAGGACAUAGAGACCGGUUAUUUACGCCCAGGGGGGGUCUAUGGCUUCCGGAAGCCGUGGAAUAUUUUUUUUUUUUUUUUUUUUUUUUUUUUAACAUGAUUGUAUGGUUAGCCUUGGCUAACAGAAAUCUCUGUUUAAACAUGGUGAUGAGGUGGGAAAUUUUUUGUUUCGGUUGAAUGUUGAAUGACAAAUUAAGAGUGUGGUGUCCACCUUUUGUACUGUUGACGAAGAUGAAGAAAUAUUCCAAUACUGACAAGACUAUAUACUGUUCGUGGAUUCCAAUAUGUUUGGAGUUGUGUCUGUGGCAGGUGCGCAACCUCGCUCCCCUUGUGUUAAAUUAACAGCUAAUUUGAGCAAGCUCGGCUUGACGGCUUGACUUGCUAUUACUUCAAUGGACUUGUAACUCUACAAGUGUGGAUUUUUUUUUUUAUUUUGAAAGAUAUAGGAAUCGAGAACCUCUGAGAAGCAGGUUUGGGCUGCUUUUAGUCAUAAACACCCCAAAAAUAUAUUUACUGUGAAAAUGAUUUUCUUCCGCUUGUAUGGAAAAUAUUUUUAGCAUUUUCGAAGAUGUGUAAUGUUGCAGAUUUGUGGACAAGUCACCACGAAUCAAGAAGAAAAGAACAGCAGCAGCGCAGCAGCACAGCAACAGAAAAAGGGAUAUGGAUCAAUAGGUACCUAUGAUACCAUGAUAUUGUAAACUAUGUU
rnacentral:lncRNA from 1 species